GAAAGGAGCUGCAGAAGUGGAGACGUGCAGGGGGGACUCUACCAAAGGGAAGAGGCUGGGGGCAUCCCUGUAGGAGGAGGGCAGGAGCUGCCUGCAGAGCUCCGGUCGGGUUUGCUUACCUUCUUCGGCACAGGGAGAAGGUAAACCCAGGCUCUGCAGAAAGGCAUCAGGCUUGGUUGGCUGCGUUGUUUGGCCCCGAAACCAUCCCGACCUACGGAGAGAGAAGGACUCCCGCGGUGUGUUGUAAGGGGAAUUUGAAGCGCUGUGAAAUGCCUGGAGAACUGGCAAGAAUGGAGCAUGCUCAGUCUCUCUGUUUGAAGCCAGUGCCCUUACCCGGAUAGGAAGAUAAAUCUCUCAAACUCUUGCUAUCUCUUAUCAAAACUGUUGCAUGGCACAGUUUCGAAUUGUUUCCAGAUCUCCCUGAAUUUCGAACUGCAGACAGUUUCCCUUCUGAUUUCAAUAUGGUACACAGUUGAGGUGUGCACCUGACUCCAAAGGUUCUACGAGGUUCACAAAAUGCAAGAAAAAUAAAACUAUUAAAAACCAGAAAUUAAAAAAUUUAAAACAUUCAGAGAUGACUAAAAGCCUGGCUGAAAAAAUGUGUCUUAAGGGCUCUUUUGAAGGUUGGCAAAGAUGUUAAACCACAAAUAUCUAUAGGGAGCGCAUUCCAUAGCCCAGGAGCAACUAUGGAGAAGGCCCACACCCAUCACCACCAGAUGAGCCGGCUUACGGAGACGGACCUCUCUGGAUGACCUCAAUGUGCCGUGGGGAUCAUGAAAAAGAAGGCACUCUCCUAGAUUUCCAAGGAAGGAAGACACCCUUAUUUCGCCCUUUUCUGCCUCCAGUCUUGAACAGGCACUGUGCUUAAGUUUUCUUCUUUUCCUUUUUUACUUUGAACUGCCCAAGGACUUAUGUAUGGGGCAGUAUAGAAAUGUGUUAAAUAAAAUAAAAACUUUUCUUUCUUUUUCCUCUUUUUCAGUGUUCCCCAUUAUCCAGCUUCACCCCCUUCUGACAACUGGAAAUCCAUUUAGCAGAUUCAUGAGAACAUCUUAUUUGUGGGGAAAGGUAAAGUGUGCCAUCGAGUCGGUGUCAACUCCUGGUGACCGCAGAGUGCUGUGGUUGUCUUCGGUAGAAUACAGGAGGGGUUUACCAAUUGUGGGGCUCCAUGUACGUUCUUCUUUUGAUUUUUCUCUGUCUUUCCUGGUCCCUCUUUAACCUGUUAUUAAGUGAUCUCCCCGCUCCCAAGUUUGUUGCAUGAGUUAUGCAUGUGUUAAGAGCAAAUAAUUAAUCAACAGAAUUCUCAUCCAUGGAAUGUGAUGAGGACCACAUCACCUUAGAUGGCUUUAAAAGUUGUCUAGAUGGAUUCAUGAAGGAUAAGUCCUUCAAUGGACACUACUCUUGAUGGCUAUAGGCUACCUCCAGACAGAGGCAUAUCUAUGGAAAAUAGUGCCCAGGGCAAGCACUGAAAUUGCACCCCUGCCCAAACAUCUUACUCAAAUUUAGAACAAAAACUGCUUUGUUCCAGUAGGGUGGGAAAAAGUAACUUAGAAGGAAAAUACAAAAACAAGCCCACCUUCCACACAAAAUCAGCACAAGGUUCCUGUAAGAAUUCAGCAGUAAACUGGGUUUUCCAGCAGUCCCCAAAAUUGUCACCUCCCUAUUGACUGAGCCAUCCAUGAUUGAUCCCUACAGGGAGCAUAAUUCAUUACAGUAGAGGUUUUCAAAUCUGUGCCCUCUGAUGUUGCUAGACUACAGCUCCCAUCAUCCACAGCCAAAAAACCACUGUGGGUGAUGGAUGUUGUAGUCUAACACCUGGGGACUCAUGUCUGAGAACCCCCUGCUCUCAACAACCGAGAAACAAAGAAAUUUGACAUUUAUUUUUAACAUUUGUAUUCCAUUCUUCUUCUAAGAAACUCCAGGUGGCAUAUAUGGUCUCCCACAUUUUAGUCUCAAACUUGAAAGGGCGACGCUCAAAAACAUUCAAAAACCUGAUUUCCACAUGCACCCUGAAGUUAAAGGUAAAGGUAAAGUGUGCAGUUAAGUCAAUUUCUACUCCUGCUGCCCACAGAGCCCUGUUGCUUUCUUUUGGUAGAAUACAGGAGGGGUUUACCAAACCUGAAGUGGAACAGUCUAAUCUUUAACCUCAGGGCUAUACCACAUCAUUUUAAUGAAUAUAUAGGCUAGAGCUGCAGUGGAUCCGCCUAUCACAAGCUCUUCAGACUUUGAGUAAAGAUACUUGUAGGGUUUGCAUUCUUACCGUAGCAAAAACUACUUUUAUUUGUUCUUACAAUAAACUCCUUUUGUUAAUUAAAACCUCUGUCCCAAGCCAGUUUUCUUGAGUUCAGACACUUGCACAAAUUAAAACUGCUUGGAACUGUUCCCCUUUUGAGAUAAAUUUCCCACAUUCGUCGAAAUUGGGGGUGUUGACCAAUCAUCCCCAAGGCAGUUCCAUCAAAAGUACAGGCUGACAAAGGAUGGAGAACUACAUUGUGUAGCGCACACAUAUACCCAAUAAACACAGUAUCACAGUUUCAGACUAAACAACAAGUCUGGAAGUCCUUUUGGCUGGAGAGAUAUUUGAAAAAUAUUUUUUUAAAAAACAAAAAACUCAGAAGCCAUAAAGUGCUGAAUAAAACUUCUGAUAGUCAUACACUGGGAUUUUGAUGCUUGUUGGCUUUCCUGAAGAUUUACAGAAACAACUUAGAUACAUGGGAAGCUACUUUAUACUGAGUCAGACACUCUAGCUUGGCAUUGUCUACUCUGACGGGCAGUGGCUCUCACUGGCUUAUAUUUUUUUAAAAAAUUAUUACCUGUAGCCCUUUCAGGGGUCUUCUUAAAGGCUGCAGGAGGGGG